rnacentral:tRNA from 1 species
ACGUAAUGUAGCUUAAUUAAAGCAUCUCGCUUACACCGAGAAACUGUCAGUGAAAAUCGGACCAUUUCGA